AGAACGAACGCUGGCGGCAGGCUUAACACAUGCAAGUCGAACGCCCCGCAAGGGGAGUGGCAGACGGGUGAGUAACGCGUGGGAAUCUACCUGGUUCUACGGAAUAACUGAGGGAAACUUCAGCUAAUACCGUAUACGCCCCAAGGGGGAAAGAUUUAUCGGUGCCAGAUGAGCCCGCGUUGGAUUAGCUAGUUGGUAGGGUAAUGGCCUACCAAGGCGACAAUCCGUAGCUGGUCUGAGAGGACGACCAGCCACACUGGGACUGAGACACGGCCCAGACUCCUACGGGAGGCAGCAGUGGGGAAUAUUGGACAAUGGGGGCAACCCUGAUCCAGCGACGCCGCGUGUGUGAAGAAGGCCUGCGGGUUGUAAAGCACUUUUAGUGGGGAUGAAAAGCUCAGGGUUAACACCUCUGGGUCUUGACCUAACCACAGAAAAAGCACCGGCUAACUCUGUGCCAGCAGCCGC
rnacentral:rRNA from 1 species